CCCUUAGAUGUUCUGGGCCGCACACGCGCUACACUGAAGGAGGCAGCGUGUACUCCUGGAUCGAAAGAUUUGGGUAACCCGCGAAUCUCCUUCGUGCUAGGGAUUGAGGUUUGCAAUUAUCCUUCAUGAACGAGGAAUUCCCAGUAAGUGCAAGUCAUAAGCUUGCGCUGACUACGUCCCUGCCCUUUGUACACACCGCCCGUCGCUACUACCGAUUGAAUGAUUUAGUGAGGACUUCGGACUGGGACCGAUGCGGCUUUCGGGCUGCGUCGGUAUUCUGGAAAGAUGUCCAAACUGNANCAUUUANAGGAAGUAAANGUCGUNACA
rnacentral:rRNA from 1 species